UACGGAGGGUGCAAGCGUUAUCCGGAUUCACUGGGCUUAAAGGGCGCGUAGGCGGACCGGCGAGUCAGGGGUGAAAGCCCGCGGCCCAACCGCGGAAGUGCCCCUGAUACCGCCGGCCUUGAGGGGGAUAGGGGCGCGCGGAACUUCGGGUGGAGCGGUGAAAUGCGUAGAUAUCCGAAGGAACACCGGUGGCGAAGGCGGCGCGCUGGGUCCCUACUGACGCUGAGGCGCGAAAGCCAGGGGAGCGAACGGG
rnacentral:rRNA from 1 species